rnacentral:snRNA from 2 species
UAUCGUCACUUAUUAUGUAAAUUUUCAGUGUGAAAUGGCAGGUUUGCAAUCACUUGUUUAACAAAAUGAUGCAAUCAAUCAUGUAAUUAUGUUUCAUCAAAAAAAUCAUGAGA